UGAGAAACUUGUGAGAAAUAUUUCACCACUCGCAUCUUUUUUAAGGAUCGCAGCGUUUUCCCGAAGUAUGUGGAGAGCAAGUCAACAACACCGAAUAAUUAAACGCAGCGACCGUAAAACCAACCGUAACAACCAAUUCAGUUGACACUGUUUUUUUCAGCAAUCGGAUCAACAUCAGUAACACCCAUAAAAGUAGUCGCUGCGUU
rnacentral:lncRNA from 1 species